rnacentral:lncRNA from 1 species
UUUUAUUUUUUUUUAAUUUUAGAAUUUGAACUGCUCCUGAUAAAUUUGUUCCCAAAUUUUAUCAUGUGGUGUAUCAGUGUUCAGAAAGCAGUCAAUUUGAAAUGGUAGUCCCUCCAAAGGCUGUUUCCCCCUCCGAAAUAUGGUGGAUUUUUGUUCUACUGUCUUGUGAGAAAUGCUUUUAGGUUUUAUUCUCAUUAGAAAAGAGACUUCAAUAAUUCAACCCCUUUGCAUUGUUAAUAUAUUAGAAUAGCAUUUGAAUAUAAGGUGUCGACCUUAUUCCGAUUUUCAGAUGCAACGAUUAGAAGUCAUUGACACCAAUCUACCACAAGUGACCUUAGUCGCGUAUCUUGCUCUGUUACUAGAAUAAUCAAGGAACGCAAUUCAGAAAUUAUAUUACAUCCUGCAUUUUAUUCAAUUCCAUAUGACAAAAAUAGUAACCUAGACUAAGACAUCCAUUUCAAUCAGUAGAUGUGUCAAGCCAACAAGAUUUAAUAAUAAAAAAUAUUGGAUCUAGGUAACAAUUCCCAGCUGUUUCAGGGAGGCUCCUAGCCCUACAUGGUAUCACAGUAUAAAAAUAGUGUCUCUCUUCACCAUGCAGAGAGGAAUGACCUAACCCUGAAUACAAAAUGGGGUCAGUCUUACUGUACCAUCAUCAACCAUCUUAUUUACAACACUUUACAUAUUUUUUCUUUUUUUCCUUUUUAAUUUUUUUCUUCUCUUUUUUUUUUUUUCUUUCUUUAAGUUAUACACAUCCUUUAGGGAAUAGAGAUAACACUACAUGGUACCAAAUACUAACAAAAAAAAAAAGUCACACCAAAAAUGACACAGAUAAAUAAAAACAUUCAAUUGCUGAAAUACAGCAACAUUAAGCCACCUCAGUUUUUUUUUUUUCAAUGCUUGGAAACACCUCUGACCACUCACACACUGUGGCAAAAAAGAUGUUACACUGUAGAGGUGUUACAGAUAUAUAAUUUUGCUUAUAUAUAGAUAUAGGUAUCUAUAUAUCCCUAUCUCAUCACUGUAGAAAAUGGAGCUGUAGAGUUCAUUGUUCAUUUCCAAUAGAAACAAACAGCUAAUAAGUCUUCGAACCUCUUUUCACUCUAUUACAUGAUGGCAGAAAUAGUCCAUCCUCUUACAGUAAUGUUUUUUGUUGUGUAAGAAAGAUUGUCCUAUUUUUCAGUCUCAACUGAGAAGACCUCACUGUCUGAUUCAUUCUUCAGGGGCGUAAAACUCCUUGCGCUGUUACCCAGCUACCCAUAAUGUCCCUCAAGCAGUUCUGCUGGACGGAAGUUCAUAGUGUCAACUCCACCAUGCUUGUAAUGCACAAAAAUGAGGUAGUACACAAAACGUCUACUGUUCAAGUUUUGAUUAAGCCCCAGUCUCCUCAGCAUCCCCAGCCUAGCUUAUGAGUGGAACCUUUCCCUUUAUUUACUUGGUGUAAUUUAAAUAAUGCAAUUAACAUCAAAUUAUAUUUGAUUAAUCAGAGUACAUUGUGCUUUGGAGUAAUCUGAGAAGAUAAUCAGCAAGAGUUGGAAAUAAAUACAGAGUAUUUGUAUGUUACUACUGCUCACGCUGCCCAAAAGUUAUUAUUUUGUUCCCAUGUUAUUAGGCAGUCAACAUCUUUCUCAUGGGUAUGUGUGAAAGAGACAGAACAGUUUACAGUAAAAUUAAACCUAUACAAUGUUCUCCUUCCUCUACCCUAAACUUGUAUUAAUAUCACACUCCUAACAUAAAUGUAUCAGAAUUCUGUCGGGGGUGGUCACGCUUUUAAGUGGGCUUUGUAGAAAAGUUAAAUGAAUCAUUUCCAUUUAAGAAAUGGCAGUCCCCGUAUUUCCUAAGGAUCUGACAGUUCUCUGCAGCUCUUCUGCUUAGUUAAUAGAGAUCUCUCAUUGUUCAACCUUAAAACAAAACAAGAAACUGCAACAGGGUCCUCCUCCUUUUUCCUUAAGUCAAAGUACUAUUUAUAAAAUAGUUUACAUUUUUGUUCAGUUUCAAAUUAUAGACAAACCUCCCUAAUACAAAAUACUAAAAGUGCAAUAGUAUAAAUUAAGAGUUUGCAACCACAUUAUACAAACAUUACCUUUUUUAUUGUACAGCUUUGAUAACAUGGAGUAUUUACUCACAACUGCUUAUAAUGUUGUGAAUAAUUUAUGGUGCUAAGGUUUGUCUGUAACUUGUUUUCCAAUCAUUGAGCUAAAGUCCACACUACAUUUUUUUUUCAUUUAAUAGAACAACUGUCCACAUAGCAGCUACAAAUAUUUAAAUAAAAAAAAGGUUUGUUACUGACAGGUACUUGCACAUGAAAAGCAUGCUAUCUUUCCCAAAAAAACUUCACAAUUUUGCCUGCAUUGAAAUAAACCACUUAUUUAUAGUAAAAAAACAAACAAACAAACAAACAAAAAAAAAAAAAAAGAAAAAAAGGAAAAAUCACAUAGCCAGAUGUAUUUUGCAGUACAAAAGCUUCAUUUAAGUUUGGGGCUAGUAUAUUGUCUGUUACCCGCAUAAUCUUAACAUUAUAAAUACUACAGACAAGGAUACUGUAAUAAUACACAGCAUUGGGGUACUAAAUCACGUAUUUAAGAUUAAGAUUCCUAAAAACAUAGUCCAAGUUGCUAACUAAUUUGAACAAAAUCAGCAAAUAAGUGUGACAGAAUGCUGUCAUGAAGCCCCCCUUUCUCAGGUGAUAGUAAGUUUUGUAAGAAGCAAAGUAGACGUAGACUAGCCUCUUUCUGUUUCUAAUGAAGUUACCCCACGAUUUGUUUU